UUGGAGAAUUCCCUAUCGGGAAAUCGGCGUAUGAAAUGCCGAAAUUCACUUACACGGUGAACCCCCGAACGCCGAACUCCAA
rnacentral:ncRNA from 1 species